rnacentral:rRNA from 1 species
CCCUUAGAUGUUCUGGGCUGCACGCGCGCUACACUGAAGCUAUCAACACGUUUUCCCUCCCUGAGAAGGGCGGGUAACCUUUUGAAUCAGCUUCGUGGUAGGGAUCGGGGCUUGCAAUUGUUCCCCGUGAACCAGGAAUUCCUAGUAGACGCGAGUCAUAAGCUCGCAUCGAUUAAGUCCCUGCCCUUUGUACACACCGCCCGUCGCUACUACCGAUUGAACGUUUUAGUGAGGCAUUUGGACCGACGCAUCUCAGUUUAACCGCUGGUUUGUGUUGGAAGGACUUCCAAACUUGAGCGUUUAGAGGAAGUAAAAGUCGUAACA